CCAGUGUCCUCAAGGAUUCCCUAGAGGCCUUCUAGUGCGGCCUCCAGGCCUCAUGUGGCCCCCUCAGUGCUCUCUGAGACCCUCUGAAGGCCUCCAGGGCCCUGCAGUGAGAUCUAGCACCUCCUGAAGGCCUCGCUGGACUCCCCAGUGCUCUCCCCAGUCCCCUCCAGCCAUCCCAGUGUCCCCCACAGGCCUCCUUCAGCUCUGGCUCCAGUGCCAGCUCGCUUGGCAACUGUGUGCAGCCCAAAUUUUGAGCAUGCUUCAUUAUUCGUGUUAUUUAUCUUGUUCUUUGUGAAUGCUGCAGACUCCUGGUUGAUGCAUCCUGAUAUACUCCACAGAUUUUCCGUGCAUUGUGUGGAAGACUUAUCUUCUUUAGAUAAAGAUGUGUGUUCCAGCUUCAUCAGGAUGAUUUGUCUAGUGCUGAUAUCCCUGUAGGGACAGGAAGGCUGAGUAAGAGCCACAGGCAGCCUAACAACUGCUACAAGCCUGCAAAGGCUGCCUGCUAAUGAGUAGUGCUACAUGCAGUUGUGGAACAAAGACCUAAUGAGCCCCCAAAGGAGUUGGACCAGCCACAGUUCUCCUUGGAGCACCUUUUAAACUUUUCUUUGGAACAAGCCACGGUAUUGCUUAGUAGGGUUUUUAACUGUAUUUUGUCAUGAUUCUUAGCUUUUAAUUGGUUAAUUCUCAUUUAUCUAGAGUUUAACACAGGUAUACUAGACAUGCUUGCGUUUCUUCCAGUGGGACGUUGCCAGUAGUGGCCCCAUAGCAUUCAGUACUUGUACUGUAGCUCACUUUUUCAAAGCCUUGCCAUCUCCAAAACGAAUUUACUCAGAUACCUUUGUCUUGAGAUUUGCCUGCUUGCAAAUGGAUGUUGUCAGAGUUGAAUUAACGUUAUUGAAAUACUGAGAUCCGCUGAGCGGCGCGGUAGCCUUCGUGGUGCUGCUUUAGGUGAGGCAUGCUGCUAGGCUCCUCGAGAAGACCAGUGUGAAAAACACGUGGGUUUUCAUGGGCUGGCUUGGAUCUUGUUUAUCCCUUAAAAUACUCAGGUUUGCAAAUGCGCUCACUUUCAUAAAUGAUCUGCAUGGAAGAUGUAUUCCCUUACCUUCCAUACAUCAGACACGGAAACGUAAGGAACGAACUCAG
rnacentral:lncRNA from 1 species